rnacentral:lncRNA from 1 species
CCAACAAGGAAAUCUGAAAGUGAGCCAGCCAAUCACCAUAAAGGAAAUGAAGGGGUUUUCCAGGGUGAGGGCCGAGGGGUGCCAGGAAGGCCUGCCCAGGAGGGUCACCCCAGCGGAGUGCUGGGGAGCCGUCUGAGCAGGCCCUCGAGGCUUGUCCCAGGCCCAGGGGCAGCAGACAGCAGGCCCCCUCAGCCGGCCAGGGCGCUCCCAGGGCCCCCGGAGGAGGGGCGGCCGCGGGUCUUUGUCUCCCUCCGUCCCUCUGCAGCCCGUUCGACCCCCAGCGCUGUUCCCUCUUUGACCCCGGAUAACUUGUUGGCUUCCCCCGGGCUUUGUUUCCCCGGGGUCACCGCCUCCGGGCCUGCCGGCAGCUGCUCCGGGCCCUCUUGGGUCCCGCAUCGGACACCCCCUCCGGCCCCCGCCCCCUACCCGCUCCGAGCCUGGGGUCAAAGGCAGCCCGCGUCACGUGGUCGCCGAGCAGCACCGAAUCGGCCGGGAGAGCCGAGGGAGAAUCCGGGUGGAAGCCGAGAAACCCAGCCCGGAGAGCAGCGCCCGGUCCCGCCCCGGCCCCCGCCCCGGGGUGCUUGCCGCCCGCCCGCCCGCCUGCCGCCCGCCGCCCGGGCCUCCCGAGCCGAUCUCCGGCCGGCACCCACGCUCCAUCACGGGAUCGAACCCUGCUCCCACCGCUGCGAUUCGGGGAGUAACAGUCUGUGGCCCGUGCGCACGAGUUUAACAAAACACGACUGGUGUGCUCGGUAAGUGUCUUCCUCUCAGUGGCCUGCGGGGCGCCUCAUUUCGGGCUCGGUCCAUGUCCCCGCGUCGGCGGCUGCCUGGAUUCCUUCCUGGGCCCGCCUGGCUCCACUGAGACAGCGCCUGUUGUUGGGCUGCUCUGCAGGCGAACCUUUGCACACUCGCGCUGCUGCUGCCUCUAGGCCAAGGGCUCGGAAGCACGGGAGGGUCUCCGUGUGCUGUGCCUGCGCCGAGUACGCCCUGCGACCUUGGGGCUCCGAAGGGUUUUGACCUUCACUCCCGGCUCCAGCUCGAGGCCCACGUCCCCUCAGUGGCUGCGCCAGCCCAGCCCUCACGCCUUUUACCCUCGUCCCUGUCUCCCGUCCCGAGGGAGCUCGGCUGCCCCCCGUGAGCGGCUGCCUCCGCUCGGGUUUCAGGGAGACGGAGGGCCGUGGUGGGGGCGCCGCUUGGGCGAGGCCGUUGGGGUCUCUGCGCAGCGGGUGUGGGUGUGAAGUCCUCGUUAACCCUCCAGGGAGACCAGUCUAGGUGGGGUCCCGGGCAGGGCACGGGGCUGCGGGGAGGCUGGGACCCAGAGUUCUGGCUGCUUGGGGGACACGGCCCACCGAAGGCGUUGCUCCCUCAAGGCAGGGCCUUCAGCUCCCUGCUGUCCCGGGCUGCUGGGUGUCACUGUGGGCACGUGCCUGCGGGGCGAGGGCCACGUGCUGCCUGAGAGCAGGUGGUGGAGGGUGAGCGAGGCCUGUUGCGCCAGGGCCGAGCGCAGCAGCUGCUCCCGCCCGGCUCCUCAGACGGCUUUCCUCGCCCGUCCUCCCCACCCCCCGUGCCCCCCCAUGCGGCCUGUGAUGCUCGAGAGGGGCCUUGCCGCUCAGCCGAGCCGCGCACGCCGCACAGCCGGCUCCCUUCUUCUGCCGGCGGGGCCGCCGGGCCGGUGUCCAGAGAAGGGGGCACCGUUGCGGGGGGUGAGGGGCCCAGUGUGGGGUGGCCUUUGGCUCCAGCUCCCAGGCCUUGCCGU